UGAGAAGAAUUAGUCCAAAAUUAAAACCUUCAAGAAACCCCUUUGGCCCCAGAAGAAGGCUAGCUUUACAGCUUAGAUUAUGAGAUGUUGAGUCCUUUCAUUUGCGGCAGUUUUCAUCAUCAUCAAGAAGAGGAAGAUGAACCUCUACAGCAGGGUUCUAGCCCCUGUUCCACUCCAAGAAAAUCAAGAAAAAGCACCAAGGAUAGCAAGAACCCAUAUUCCACUCGUGGACUUGACAAGUUCUCUGCACUUUUAGCUGAUCUUGAAGAGAAGAGGCAACAGAUAUAUUCCCAGGUGGAUUCUCAGGAUAUUUCAUUUGUUCGUUUCGUUUACUCCAGCUCAAAUGAUUGCGUCCCAAUCAUAGUGAAGUUGAAGGAUCAGAAUAAGCAAGAUCAAAAUAAGGGCAUUGAUUUUAAAGAUGAACCAAGAACCACACAAAACGCAGAAGCUUUGGAUAAAUCGCCAAUAGAGACAUCAGCUGUUCAGCAUGAGGAAGAAUCCAAGCAAACAAGAUUGGAAACUGAUAAAAAGACUGAGAAGAAGAGGAUGCUUUCAUGGAACUUGAAGUUGCAUAAAUGGAGAAGACCUUCGUAUUAUAUGCCAAUGUUUAUAGUCUUGAUUUUGCUGUUCUUGGCUUUCUUUGGAAGAUCAGUAGCAAUUCUAUGCACCUCUAUUGGGUGGUAUCUAGUCCCUACAUUGAGUUCAAAAAGACCAGCCAAGAAGAAGCAAUUGGUGAGAAGAUACAGUGAAAUUUCUCCAAUGAGCAACAAGAAUAUGACUGGGGAUUCCAAGGUCAAAUCUCCUCAUGGGCGUCAAAAUAGCUUCUGAAGAUUAUUUGAUUUUUCUUGUUUCUUUAAUUUUUUUUUUCUUCUUUUUGUUUUAGAAUUAGCAUUUUUGUCUGUUGUGAUGAUGAUGUAGAAAAAAUUUUCGGUUCCCUUGUUUGGUGGGGAUUGAAAUUUCAACUCUUUGAAAUGUUCAUAAAUGUAAAUUAUGCGUUCAACGAUAUUAACUAUAUAAUGCCCUGUAAUGUUUUAUUCAAAGUGGUUUUGUAAGGUUUCUUCGAAAUUGAAUGG
rnacentral:misc_RNA from 1 species